AUACGUAGGGGGCGAGCGUUGUCCGGAAUUACUGGGCGUAAAGGGUGCGUAGGCGGAAUCUUAAGUCAGAUGUGAAAUUCCGGGGCUUAACCUCGGAACUGCAUUUGAAACUGGGGUUCUAGAGUGCAGGAGAGGAAAGCGGAAUUCCUAGUGUAGCGGUGAAAUGCGUAGAUAUUAGGAAGAACACCAGUGGCGAAGGCGGCUUUCUGGACUGUAACUGACGCUGAUGCACGAAAGCGUGGGGAGCAAACAGGAUUAGAUACCCUGGUAGUCCACGCUGUAAACGAUGAGUGCUAGGUGUGGGGGGUUUCGACACCCUCUGUGCCGCAGUAAACGCAAUAAGCACUCCGCCUGGGGAGUACGGUCGCAAGACUAAA
rnacentral:rRNA from 1 species